rnacentral:rRNA from 1 species
UAUCUCUGUAGAGUCUGCAUAUCAAUAAGCGGAGGAAAAGAAACUAACUAGGAUUCCCUCAGUAACGGCGAGUGAAGCGGGAAGAGCUCAAAUUUGAAGUCUUCAAGGUUCUACCUUGACGAAUUGUAGUUUAAAGAAGUGUUUUCUGUUGGAGUUUUGGUAAAAGUUCUUUGGAAUAGGACAUCAUAGAGGGUGAGGAUCCCGUAUUUGACCAUUAUUUCCAGCUUUGUGAUACACUUUCAAAGAGUCGGAUUGUUUGGGAAUGCAGUCCAAAAUGGGUGGUAAAUUUCAUCUAAAGCUAAAUAUUGGCGAGAGACCGAUAGCGAACAAGUACCGUGAGGGAAAGAUGAAAAGAACUUUGAAAAGAGAGUUAAACAGUACGUGAAAUUGUCAAAAGGGAAGCGUUUGACACCAGUGUUGUUUCUACGAAAAUCAAUUUAUGAUGGCUUGAUGCUAAGCUUUAAGACUUUAUCCGCUUGUUGUUUAGUUUUCUUGUCUUUGUGAAUGCACUUUUCGUGGAACAAGUCAACAUCAAUUUCUUUUGCUGUAAAAGGGUAAGAGGAAGGUGGCUUCGGCUUCGGUUGAAGUGUUUAUAGCCUUUUAUCUCUGCAGUCGGAGAGAUUGAGGUCUGCAGCGUAGACUCUUCGGGGUUAGAUACGUCGGUGCUAAGCUAUAGCUUUUCAUAGACAACUUGUUGACUAUGUUUAGUCAUGUGGCUUACCCGCUGGCGCUAUUUUACCUACGCUUAGGAUGUUGAGUCAUCACACAUCUCU